AGGCACAGCCACAGAAAAUUCACAGUGAUUCACAGUGUUUAGAUUAGAACUGAGAAAGACUGAAGUGAUGAUACUUGUAAUGGCUUCACAUACCAUUUCUGUUGGUUGCCUCUUGUCAUUUUAACAGUUCUAUAAAUAUAGCAGGAGAUGAAGACUAUCGGCAUUCACCUGUUCACUUACAUUCCAGGCUUUAAUAUAAAUAUAUGUUGAUGCCGUUUCCAAAAUAAGGACAAGACUUAGAUUAGUGUUUGAUUAAUUCACUUUUAUCAUCUUGAGCUGGUAAUGCACAUUGAUCAGAAAUUGCUGUCUCUUGCGAGUGUCCUGUGCUCAGAAGAGAUUCCAAGAAGUUCAGGGUAGGUGAAGGUGACUCAGUGCUUUGGGGAGCAGCUUUUUCAAGAAUACCUAACUGUGUGACCAUGAGCAAAAAUCCUGUACAGCGUAGCUCUGGAAUGAAACGCAUCUGUAACAUUGGUAAUUUGAAUCAAAGGGAAAUCAAAGAGUUACUUUUGAUAACAGACUCUUGUGCUAUGAGAUCAGAUUUAAGAACUUAUUAAUCACCUCUAAACAAAACAGCAGUAUUAAAAAUGCUAUUGCACCCUUAAGGUUAGAGGACAUAGAGUGGGUAUCCUGUGGAAAUGGUGAGGUGUGGAGACAUUUCGUUGUCAAACAGAGGUUGUUUGAAACUGAUAAUUAUUGCAGUUCGCUGCAAAUUCAGACUUCUUCUGUGGCCUUCUCAAGUCCUCCUCAAUUUAUUUUCUUGAUAGUGUGCUCCUGAAUUUUCCACUGGGUUUUUUUUGAGAGGGUUUUUUAGCUAUUUCAAAGAGUUUACACUUUUUUUUUUUUUUAGUUGUGGUGAGCUUCCAGUAUUGAGCAUGCAUGUUGUAAUUUCAGAUGCCUCCUAACCUUGGAAUUGCUAUGAGAUGACAAAUUAAUCUGUGGUGAUUUUCAUACUAUUAAUUAAUUAAGUCCUCCUGCUCCUUUUCUGCAGCCAACAGGUAAACUAUCAGCUAGCAGUGCUUAAGGAGAAAAAAGGAGUAAAUUAAUCUCAUUUGCCUUUUCUGUAAGACUGCAAUUUCAGGGAUUUGGAAAAAACAAACAAAAAACCAGACUGAAUGGGAAAAGGUUAAAUAAAGUGUAAUGAGAUAGGGUGAUACAGUUAAUUAGUGGGUUGCCUAAUUACCUUUCAUAAUUAUUUUUUUUUGUUAACACAUGUGAACCUUUUGCACCAGUGCAAGUUAUUUUCUGCAUGGGGGGUGGGAUUUAGAGGGUAAAAGUUAGCUGAUACUCCAAUGUCACUUGAGAAUGGGUUAUGAACUUUUAGAAUUGUCUUGUUUUAAAGAAGUAGAUGCAAUGUGGUAGCAGUAACUUCAAAAACCUGACAGCUGCUAGCACCUCUGAAGGUGGUUUGUAGCCCCUCAUCUUGGAGAUAACAAGGGAACCUCUUCAAAGCUGUGCAGUAGGUGAGAAGAUGGGGUGGGGGGGGGGGGAGAAGGGAAACCUCAGCUAUAGCAGUCCUUGUUCUGGAAAUUCAUUCUAGAUACUGAAUAGUUCUAGCAAGUUUGUUUUGAAAUGACUCUUUGGCUUAUCUAAGGGCUAGAAAGGAAGAAACCACAAUCUAAUAUUCUGCUGCUGUUACAGGAAAGAUGCAAAGGAAGGAGCUUUUCAUUAGCAAAUGGCAAGUGUAGGACUGCAGAUGUGAGGACUGGAGCUGUCAGGGGCUGGAGGCUGUGAGAUCCUGAGCAAAUUAUCGCAGGGCUUUAGUAUCUACUACUUCCUGAAAUAAAACUGGUUUUAAGACAUCUGGGAGCUGACAUUGCAACUUCGUUCCUAACACCAUGCAACGUUUGACAGCUUUCUUAGAGGUAAGUUCUGUCUCAAAAAUCCAAUUCUUACAGUAUAUUAGAAAAAUAAUGCAUUAAAACAUACUUUGCACACAG
ensembl:lncRNA